CCCCAUUGUAACACACUUCUUCCCACAAGGCCACACCUACUCCAAGGCCACACCUCCUAAUAAGGCUACUCCUUAUGGGCCAAGCAUUCAAACACAGGAGUCUGUGGGAGCCAGACCUAUUCAAACCACCAUUCCCUCCUUGCAGUGGGACGUGGACAGAAUGUUACCAACAGAACAUCCGGGUGGAACGGUCAAGUGUUCUGAAGAAGCAGCACAUCAUAAACUGUGAAGUGAAGUCAUAAACUGGUGGUUUUCAACCUUCCUAACGUGGUGACUCUUUAAAACAGCUCCUCAUGCUGUGGUUUACCCUAUGUCUCUUCUCUGCCCCUGCAUCUGGGACACUUGGUCCACGCAUAGCCUGAUACUGCCAGAGAAUCCAGAGGUGCUGGUGUCAUUCAAGCUAAGAACAGCGGAUCCAAGAAACAGCGGGACAUCCUGCUUAAGAUCUCCAUGGGCAAAAGAAGGAUGCGCUCUCUGUACCUGCGAGCAGCUUGUACAGUAUGCUCAGAAGAAACACGAUAAUAGCCAACAGAUGGCCUCUUCCUGGCACUUUCUUAUCAAGAGCCUUUGACUCUGCAGCUUUCCAGAGCAGAGAGUGAAGCUGAUGUUUAUGCCUAGGAGCCCGAUUGAUACACUGCACAAGGGUGAGCUAAUCGGUGAUUGUUACCUCUCUCAAUGGGCCCAUCUGCUUCCCUGAAAUUUAUCUCACCUGGAGCAGCAAGUCAAAAGACGGUCUGUCGCUGAAACAGUGUUCGCUGAGCCGUGGGCUUUAGCUCUGAAGAACCACACGACAGAGCCAUCUGCCUGGCUUGGAAUCCUGUUUCUGCUAUGCUACCUGUGUGAUCUCAGGAAAGUUCACUGAUCUCCACCCGCCUGUCUUCUCAUCUGCAAUAUGGGCAUUAAAAACAGUAACUCAGGCUGUGGGGAAUGCUCUGUCAGUAGGGUGCCUACCACACAAGCUGAGGGCUUGAGCUCAAGUCCACAGUACCUGUGUAAAAGAUUUUGUGUUGUGAUCUGUAGCCCCAAUAAUACUAGGUAAGGGGAGCAGAAACAGGCAGGUCCCUAAAACUCGUUGGCCAGCUAGCCUAGCCAGAUCAAUGAGUCCCAAAUCCAAUGAGAGACUCAGACUCAAAACAG
ensembl:lncRNA